UACGUAGGUGGCAAGCGUUGUCCGGAAUUAUUGGGCGUAAAGCGCGCGCAGGCGGGAAAGUAAGUCUACUCUAAAAGUGCGGGGCUCAACCCCGUGAGGGGGUGGAAACUGCUAUUCUUGAGUGCCGGAGAGGAAAGCGGAAUUCCCAGUGUAGCGGUGAAAUGCGUAGAUAUUGGGAGGAACACCAGUGGCGAAGGCGGCUUUCUGGACGGUGUCUGACGCUGAGGCGCGAAAGCCAGGGGAGCGAACG
rnacentral:rRNA from 1 species